rnacentral:lncRNA from 1 species
UUUCACCAUGUUGGUCAGGCUGGUCUCUAAUUUCUGACCUCAGGUGAUCCAGCCGCUCGGCCUCCCAAAGUGUUGGCAUUACAGGCGUGAGCCACUGUGCCUGGCCAAUUCUUGUUUUGCCUGUUUGUAACACAAAGGAUAAAUGCUUGAGGUGAUGGAUAUCCCAUUUACUCUGAUAUGAUUAUGCAUUGCAUGCCUGUAUCAGAAUAUCUCACGUACUCCAUAAAUACAUAUACCUACUAUGUACUCACAAAAAUUUUUAGAAACAGGAGUUGGUGGCUUGGACUAGGGUGAUAGUGCUGAGUAGUAACUUUACGCAGAUUACUACCAUACUUAAUCUUCAACUGCGAUUGCUUCCCUCUGUCUCUCUCUUUUGAUUAAUAACUCCAUUUGCUUGCAGUUGCAUCUCCUCAUGUCUAAACACUCAAAGAGCCCUUUAGUUUCCCAGUCCUUGGCUGAUCCUUUCUCCAUCCAGUCUUCCUAUAACUGUCGGGACAAUAUCGUGGCUACCUUCCCUCAUCCCUAUGCAAGAACUGGUGGUGGAUUCUGAACAAACCAAAGUGAUUCUGCCUUGUAUUCAAGGAAUUCUAUCAGACGAACCAACUCUACUUGUACAAGCAUAUGUCUUUACUAGUCUUUAAACACUACUUAUUUCAACUUCUGGCAACAGCUUGGUUAUUCAUCUAAAAAGCAUCCAUUAUGCCUUCUAUGUCAAACAUGUUGUUAAACAUGAUGCUUUCGCCCGUGUUCACUAAGUUAAUCUUUACAACCAACCCAUGAGAUUGGUUUUAUUAUCCUCAUUUCUCUAACAUGAAACUAAGAGUUAGAGGGGUUUCCUUGUUCAAGAUAAAAAACUAGUAAGAGGCAGAGCUGGGAUUUGAACCUAAGUUCUCUGAUUCCAUGCCCAGUGUCCUUUCUUGAGCUUUUCUCUUGCAAACUCUCAAUUGUAUCAAUCUGUGAUACUUUCUCUUUGGCUUUCUGUUGAUGCACAUCUACUUCUACUCUCCAACCCUUUCAAGAACUUUCUUGAAAUUUGUCUCAUAUGGAAGUCUUUGUCAUUUUUUCUCAUGCUUUGAACAUAGUUGAAUUACAGACUGUUUUUUUUUUUUUUUUUUUUGAGACACAGUCUCACUCUGUCACCCAGGCUGGAGUGCAAUGGUGUGAUCUCAGCUCACUGCAACCUCCACCUCCAGGGUUCAAGCAAAUCUUGUGCCUCAGUCUCCUGAGCAGCUGGGAUUACAGGCAUGUGCCACUAUGCCUGGCCAAUUUUUUUGUAUUUUUAGUAGAGACGGGGUUUCAUCAUGUUGCUGAGGCUGGUCUCAAACUCCUGACC